UACAGAGGUGGCAAGCGUUGUUCGGAAUUACUGGGCGUAAAGGGCGCGUAGGCGGUCCGAUAAGUCCUGUGUGAAAUCCCUCGGCUCAACUGAGGAACUGCACGGGAGACUGCCGGGCUUGAGUUCGGGAGAGGGAAGCGGAAUUCCGGGUGUAGCGGUGAAAUGCGUAGAUAUCCGGAGGAACACCGGUGGCGAAGGCGGCUUCCUGGACCGACACUGACGCUGAGGCGCGAAAGCGUGGGGAGCAAACAGG
rnacentral:rRNA from 1 species